UACGUAGGGUGCAAGCGUUAAUCGGAAUUACUGGGCGUAAAGCGUGCGCAGGCGGUUGUGCAAGACCGAUGUGAAAUCCCCGGGCUUAACCUGGGAAUGGCAUUGGUGACUGCACGGCUAGAGUGUGUCAGAGGGGGGUAGAAUUCCACGUGUAGCAGUGAAAUGCGUAGAGAUGUGGAGGAAUACCGAUGGCGAAGGCAGCCCCCCUGGGGAUAACACUGACGCUCAUG
rnacentral:rRNA from 1 species